AGCGAACGCUGGCGGCAGGCCUAACACAUGCAAGUCGAACGAACCCUUCGGGGUUAGUGGCGGACGGGUGAGUAACACGUGGGAACGUGCCUUUAGGUUCGGAAUAACUCAGGGAAGCUUGUGCUAAUACCGAAUGUGCCCUUCGGGGGAAAGAUUUAUCGCCUUUAGAGCGGCCCGCGUCUGAUUAGCUAGUUGGUGAGGUAAUGGCACACCAAGGCUACGAUCAGUAGCUGGUCUGAGAGGAUGACCAGCCACAUUGGGACUGAGACACGGCCCAAACUCCUACGGGAGGCAGCAGUGGGGAAACUUGCGCAAUGGGCGAAAGCCUGACGCAGCCAUGCCGCGUGGAUGAUGAAGGUCUUAGGAUUGUAAAAUCCUUUCACCGGUGAAGAUAAUGACUGUAGCCGGAGAAGAAGCCCCGGCUAACUUCGUGCCAGCCGCCGCCGUAAUAC
rnacentral:rRNA from 1 species